UACGGGAGGCAGCAGUAAGGAAUAUUGGUCAAUGGACGCAAGUCUGAACCAGCCAUGCCGCGUGAAGGAUGAAGGCCCUCUGGGUUGUAAACUUCUUUUAUGUGUGACGAAAAAAGGGGAUUCUUCCUCACUUGACGGUACCAGAGGAAUAAGCACCGGUUAACUCCGUGCCAGCAGCCGCGGUAAUACGGAGGGUGCAAGCGUUAUCCGUAUUCACUGGGUUUAAAGGGUGCGUAGGUGGGCAGGUAAGUCAGUGGUGAAAUCUUUGAGCUUAACUCGGAAACUGCCAUUGAUACUAUCUGUCUUGAAUAUCCUGGAGGUGAGCGGAAUAUGUCAUGUAGCGGUGAAAUGCUUAGAUAUGACAUAGAACGCCAAUUCAGAAGGCAGCUCACUACGGGAUGAUAGACGCUGAGGCACGAAAGCGUGGGGAUCAAACAGGAUUAGAUACCCUGGUAGUCCACUCCCUAAACGAUGGAUACUCGACAUAUGCGAUACACUGUAUGUGUCUGAGCGAAACGCAUUAA
rnacentral:rRNA from 1 species